rnacentral:lncRNA from 1 species
UCGAACUCAGAAAUCUGCCUGCCUCUGCCUCCCGAGUGUGCCACCAUGCCCAGCUCUGGCACAUGGCCUUUUAAAAGAAGCAUGUCACUGUGUAGGUGGGUUUUGAGGCAAUAUAUAUCUGGCUGCGCCCAGCACCAUGGCUGCCUGCAUGAUACCAUGCUUCCCACAGUGAUGAUAAUGGACUGAACUUCUGCAACUGUAAGCCAGCCCCAAUUGAAUGUUGUCCUUAUAAGAGUUGCCUUGGUCAGGGUGUCUGUUCACAGCAAUAAAACCCUAAGACAGAAGUUGGUACCAGGAACUGGGGUGUUCCUCUGAUAUGCCUGAUCAAUGAUCAAGCUUUUUUUGUUUGGAGGUAUGUGGAUUUUGGCACUUUGGAAGACAGUGGGAUGCUUUAAGUGGGAGUUACUGGGCCAUCCUAAUAAAAGCAUGGAAGACAGUGGUGCUGAGGGAGAUCUGAACUCAGGGGCGGGGGUGGGGGGGGGCUGGCUCAAGAAGUUUCAGAGGAGAAAGAAGAAUUCCGGUAUGUUGCCUAGAGAUCAUUCUUGUGAUGUUUGUAAAUGUGGCUACUUUCUGUUCUCAUCUGAAGAGUCUUCCUAGGCUAAGAGAAGAGAUUUAGAUUAAUUGCAUUGACAAAAGAAAUUUCAAAACUGCCUAGCAUAGAUAGACUCUGUCCUGUGGGACUCUCUUAUGAAGAGUGUUUUGAUCAAGUGUAGCAAGCUU